UACGGAGGGUGCGAGCGUUAUCCGGAAUCACUGGGUUUAAAGGGUGCGUAGGCGGCCAGAUAAGUCAGUCGUGAAAUCGCUGGGCUCAACCCAUGCAAUUGCGAUUGAUACUGUUUGGCUUGAAUUGGGUUCAGGCAGGCGGAAUGUGGCAUGUAGCGGUGAAAUGCUUAGAUAUGCCAUAGAACACCGAUUGCGAAGGCAGCUUGCUGGGCCCAUAUUGACGCUGAGGCACGAAAGCGUGGGGAGCAAACAGG
rnacentral:rRNA from 1 species